CAGCCGCCGCGGGAAUACGAAGGGGGCUAGCGUUGUCCGGAAUGAUUGGGCGUAAAGGGCGCGCAGGCGGCUGUGUAAGUCUGUCUAGAAAGUGCGGGGCUAAACCCCGUGAGAGGAUGGAAACUGGACAGCUGAGAGUGUCGGAGAGGAAAGCGGAAUUCCUAGUGUAGCGGUGAAAUGCGUAGAUAUUAGGAGGAACACCAGUGGCGAAGGCGGCUUUCUGGACUGCAACUGACGCUGAGGCUCGAAAGCCAGGGGAGCGAACGGGAUUAGAUACCCCCGUAGUCCCUGUCUCUUAUAC
rnacentral:rRNA from 1 species